rnacentral:rRNA from 2 species
AGUCGAGCGCACCUUCGGGUGAGCGGCGGACGGGUUAGUAACGCGUGGGAACAUACCCUUUGGUACGGAAUAGCCUCUGGAAACGGAGAGUAAUACCGUAUGAGCCCUUCGGGGGAAAGAUUUAUCGCCAAAGGAUUGGCCCGCGUUAGAUUAGGUAGUUGGUGGGGUAAUGGCCUACCAAGCCUACGAUCUAUAGCUGGUUUUAGAGGAUGAUCAGCAACACUGGGACUGAGACACGGCCCAGACUCCUACGGGAGGCAGCAGUGGGGAAUCUUGGACAAUGGGGGCAACCCUGAUCCAGCCAUGCCGCGUGAGUGAUGAAGGCCUUAGGGUCGUAAAGCUCUUUCGCCUGUGAAGAUAAUGACGGUAGCAGGUAAAGAAACCCCGGCUAACUCCGUGCCAGCAGCCGCGGUAAUACGGAGGGGGUUAGCGUUGUUCGGAAUUACUGGGCGUAAAGCGCACGUAGGCGGACUGGAAAGUUGGGGGUGAAAUCCCAGGGCUCAACCCUGGAACUGCCUCCAAAACUAUCAGUCUAGAGUUCGAGAGAGGUGAGUGGAAUUCCGAGUGUAGAGGUGAAAUUCGUAGAUAUUCGGAGGAACACCAGUGGCGAAGGCGGCUCACUGGCUCGAUACUGACGCUGAGGUGCGAAAGUGUGGGGAGCAAACAGGAUUAGAUACCCUGGUAGUCCACACCGUAAACGAUGAAUGCCAGUCGUCGGGUAGCAUGCUAUUCGGUGACACACCUAACGGAUUAAGCAUUCCGCCUGGGGAGUACGGUCGCAAGA